GAGGGAACAAUAAUAGUCGGCUUCUGAGUUCUGAUCUCAAUCAUAAAGUGUUGUUGUCAAGAUUCGAACUACGGAUAGAGUAUAAGCAAUUGACACUAAAAUAAAAAAAUUGAAGGGCCGAGAUCCAAUUCAUUCAAAUCAAGCUGAAGGGACGAGAUCGUGCCACAUGGACAGAUGAUUAUAUAUACACAUCACACAGGACAGAGAGGGCUAACAAAAAUUCUGGGAACAAAAGGUAAUCUUCUCUAUUCAGUAGAAGGAUUUAACCAAGCUAUUGGGACUUGAUUAUGAGGUUCAAUAUAAGAGAGGUGCUGAAAAUAGAAUUAUUGACGCCUUGCUGGGAAAUAAAAAGGGUUAGACUCCUUAGAUGAUCAUGCUAUUGGGAAUUUAAUGGCUAUAAGAAGUAGCACUCCAACUUGGGUAUGAGAGAUUAUUGGGCGCUAUGCAGAGGAUGCUUAUGUCCGAGACAUUCUUACACUACUUGUCGUAGAUUCUCAUGGACCCAAUUUAUCGCACUACUCAUCUGGUAUACUAAGAAAAGAUUCUUAUGGACCCAAUUUAUCGCACUACUCAUCUGGUAUACUAAGAAACAAGGGCAAGGUAUAUGUAGGAUCUCAUGAAACUCUCAAACAAUAACUCAUUUCUUCUUACCGCGACACUCCCCUUGGUGGUCAUUCUGGUCAGUUAGAGACAUCAAAAAGGUUGUCGCAAUUUUUCUAUUGACCAAAGAUGAAGCUUAUGGUUAAUGAUUAUGUGCCCAGAUGUGAUUUAUGCCAUAGGAAUAAAGACGAUAAUUAUGUAGUUUAUCCGGAAUUUUUGCAACUCUUACCUGUUCCUAAUCAAGCAUGGUACCAAUAUCAACACGGACUUUGUAGAAGGUCUUCCCAAGUAUAAAUCUAAAGAUGUCAUAUUAGUGGUGGUUGAUAAAUUUACUAUGUACGCCACUUCAUAACUCUAUCGCACCCUCAUACUGCCGCCGCUAUUGCUUCCAUCUUUUGGAAGAAGAUACAUAGCCUACAUGGCACUCCGAAGUCUAUUGUGACUGAUAGAGACAAGGUGCAUCUCAACAACUUUUGGCGAGCUUUAUUUAGCUUAUUGGGCACACAAAUCAAUUAUAACUCUGCCUAUCACUCUCAAAGUGAUGGCCAAACAAAAAGGGUUAAUUGGUGCUUGGAAAAAUACUUAAGAUGCAUGGUGGCAAGUAAGCCUAAUCAGUGGAAACUAGGGCUGGGCAUAAACACCUAAAAACUGAAAUAUCAAACUGAAUUAAAUUAUUUUGAUAUUUUAAUUCUGUAUUCGGUAUACGUUUUUAUAUUUUUUGGUAUUUUUAUUCGA